UCUCCCUGGGGCGCAGGGCGGGUCCUAGCAGGCGGGGCGGGGCUCAGCCUCAGCCUCAGCCCCAGCGCAGGGGGACGUGCGUGAUCCCUAGCCCGGCCCAGGGGUUACCGAGCGUGUGGCCAGCCUGAGUCUGCGGGCUGGGCCGGUUCCCUUCCCGUGGGGCCCGCUCGGGGGCGGGGGGGAGGCUCAACAGUCCGGGCUGCGCCGUCUGUGACAUCCAGCGCCCCCGUUAGCUCGUGCCCGCCGCUGCCGGUGUAGCGUAUUGAACUGCUCCGCGUAGGAAUGCGCCGCUGGCAGCAGAACUCAGAAUCCGCACCUGUAGAAAACUAUUCCUGCAUCUCCUGCUGAAAGGAAAAUUCACAUUACAAGACAACACAAAUCCAAGUCUCCUGUCAGUAAAUCAUGGGACAGUGUACAGCAAAUUUUAAAGAUGGUUAAGAAGUGUUUUCAAGCAACAACUGAUAUGGUAUUUGGAAGAAAAGUAUUAGGAAAAUGAAAUAUCCAAUUUGGCCAUGUUGCAAGAGAAGCAGGGGAGGAAGCCUCCAGGCCUAUAUACAUCCUCUUGCUUAAUCAACUGGGUAAACACUAGAAGCUGUUCCUACUCUCAACAGCUACAUUUUGGAAAUAAGGGGUUGUCUGUUCAUAUGAUAGUAAAGCACUGACCACGCUCUGAACUUUGUGAUAUCGUUCUGUUCUGCCUGCUGCCUGUUGAAUUGACCGCAUAUUAAAGAACACACUCCACACCAAUUCAAAAUAUGAUUUUUGUAUGUUUCAAUCAAACCUACUCACAAGAACAGAGUAAGACUGAGCGGGAGGAACAACUCUGAUAUCAUAAUCAAUAAGGCUGACAAAGGAGGUGCUGUCGUUAUCAUGAAUAAGUUGGAAUAUGAACAAGAGGCUGCUGGGCAGCUCUCUAACUCUCCUACAGGCCAUUAUCCUCUGAUCCCACUAAGGAUUACCAAAAGAAAUUACACCAUCUGCUCAAGAAACAGAUCUGUGCAGACACAUGCCUAGAACCCCGACCAGGGGCAUUCUAUCUGCUUCCCAAGAUCCAUAAACCUGGGAAUCCUGGUCGCCCCAUCAUCUCAGGCAUUGGCACCCUGACAGCAGGACUGUCUGGCUAUGCAGACUCUCUCCUCAGGCCCUACGCUACCAGCACUCCCAGCUAUCUUCGAGACACCACUGACUUUCUGAGGAAACUACAAUCCAUCGGUGAUCUUCCAGAAAACACCCUCCUGGCCACUAUGGAUGUAGAAGCCCUCUACACCAACAUUCCACACAAAGAUGGACUACAAGCCGUCAGGAACAGUAUCUCCAGUAAUGUCACAGCAGAUCUGGUGGCUGACCUUUGUGACUUUGUCCUCACCCACAAGUAUUUCAUGUUUGGGGACAACGUAUACCUUUAAGUCAGCGGCACUGCUAUGGGUACCCGCAUGGCCCCACAGUAUGGUAACAUUUUUAUGGCUGACUUAGAACAACGCUUCCUUAGCUCUCGUCCCCUAACACCCCUACUCUACUUGUGCUACAUUGAUAACAUCUUCAUCAUCUGGACCCAUGGAAAAGAAGCCCUUGAGGAACUCCACCAUGAUUUCAACAAUUUCCAUCCCAUCAUCAACCUCAGCCUGGACCAGUCCACACAAGAGAUCCACUUCCUGGACACUACAGUGCUAAUAAGCGAUGGUCACAUAAACACCACCCUAUACCGGAAACCUACUGACCGCUAUACUUACCUACAUGCCUCCAGCUUCCAUCCAGGAAACACCAUACGAUCCAUUGUCUACAGCCAAGCUCUAAGAUACAACCGCAUUUGCUCCCAUUCCUCAGACAGAGACAAACACCUACAAGAUCUCUAUCAAGCAUUCUUAAAACUACAAUACCCACCCGUUGAAGUGAAAAAACAGAACAAACAGAGCCCGAAGAGUACCCAGAAGUCACCUACUACAGGACAGGCCCAACAAAGAAAACAACAGAAUGCCACUAGCUGUCACCUUCAGCCCCCAGCUAAAACCGCUCCAGCGCAUCAUCAAAGAUUUACGACCUAUCCUGAAAAAUGAUCCCUCACUCUCACAGAUCUUGGGAGACAGACCAGUCCUCCCUUACAGACAGCCCCCCAACCUGAAGCAAAUACUCUUCAGCAACCACACACCACAUAACAAAAACACUAACCCAGGAACCUAUCCUUGCAACAAAGCCCGAUGCCAACUCUGUCCACAUAUUUAUUCAAGUGACACCAUCAUAGGACCUAAUCACAUUAGCCAUGCUAUCAGGGGCUCGUUCAUCUGCACAUCUACCAAUGUGAUAUAUGCCAUCAUUCACCAGCAAUGCCCUUCUGCCAUGUACAUUGGCCAAACCGGACAGUCUCUACGCAAAAGAAUAAAUGGACACAAAUCUGACAUCAGGAAUCAUAACAUUAAAAAACCGGUAGGAGAACAGUUCAAGCUCUCUGGCCACUCAGUAAAAGAUUUAAGGGUGGCAAUUUUGCAACAGAAAAGCUUCUAAAACAGAUGAGAAACCGCUGAAGCUUGAAUUAAUAUGCAAACUAGAUACCAUUAACUUGGGUUUGAAUAAAGACUGGGAGUGGCUGGGUCAUUA